rnacentral:lncRNA from 1 species
UUAUUUUUUAAUGUUUCUGAAUGAGAAAAAUGUGAACAUAAACUACUGUCUCUCACACCACUGUCCUGGUACAUUGUGGUUGUGGUAUUAGGGCUCUUUUCUUUUUUUUUCUGAAAAUAAUAUAAAAUACGUUGUGUUCCUCUAUAUUUUAUUAUGAACAAUCUUUUCUGAAUGGAACUUUGUCCUAAUUCAAGUGCCACUAAAAUAAAGGUUAGCUUCUCCGACUGUAUUCUUCAGUGGAAAAGCUUUUAUAAAUUACCUUAUUGUUUCACAGGCCUUGGAGAGUGUUGUUGUGGAUGGCAAUGAGUGUGACUCAUCUGGCUGUAGAGCUGGAAAUGUAAUAUUAAAGAAAAUAAAUAACAAAACUGAAAAGAGCAUUAAAUGAGGAAAUGAGGCACGAAUGCGUGAAACAGAGGUUAGUCUACUGCAUGAUGAGCUGUUUGGCACUUUCAACGCACCUUCCAAAGCCUCUUCAUACCAGCUACUGGAAUAUUACUAAAUUUGGGAUCUUGACAGAUAGAAAGACUAAGAUCUGACAAUGUUUGUUAUUCGUCUUAUACAAACCAGUUUAUUUCCUGUACAUGAAAAAUAACAGAAUGAACAUGAAGACCUUCUGACCAACCUAGAUUUGAUAUCUCUUCUUGGAAAAUAAACUGUGAUUCAGCAGCA